rnacentral:misc_RNA from 1 species
AACGCACAUUGCGCCCCUUGGCAUUCCGAGGGGCAUGCCUGUUCGAGCGUCAUUACACCAAUCACGCCUGGCGUGGUAUUGGGCGACGGGGACCGCGGCUCGCCCGCACCCCGCGCCCCAAUGACUCCGGCGGGACGAAUCGAAUCUCAGCGUUGUGAUCAAAAGCCGCUGGCGAGACGAGGCGCCCUGUGCCGUUAAACAACCCCCUUCAAAGGUUGACCUCGGAUCAGGUAGGGAUACCCGCUGAACUUAA